AACGAACGCUGGCGGCAGGCUUAACACAUGCAAGUCGAACGCUCCGCAAGGGGAGUGGCAGACGGGUGAGUAACGCGUGGGAACGUGCCCUAAGGUAUGGAAUAACUUCGGGAAACUGAAGCUAACACCAUAUGUGACCGAGAGGUGAAAGUUUAUCGCCUUAGGAUCGGCCCGCGUCAGAUUAGCUAGUUGGUGGGGUAAUGGCCUACCAAGGCGACGAUCUGUAGCUGUUCUGAGAGGAAGAUCAGCCACACUGGGACUGAGACACGGCCAGACUCCUACGGGAGGCAGCAGUGGGGAAUCUUGGACAAUGGGCGCAAGCCUGAUCCAGCCAUGCCGCGUGGAUGAUGAAGGCCCUAGGGUUGUAAAGUCCUUUCGUUGGGGACGAUAAUGACGGUACCCAAAGAAGAAGCUCCGGCUAACUUCGUGCCAGCAGCCGCCGUAA
rnacentral:rRNA from 1 species